GAUGAACGCUGGCGGCGUGCCUAAUACAUGCAAGUCGAGCGAACGGACGAGAAGCUUGCUUUUCUGAUGUUAGCGGCGGACGGGUGAGUAACACGUGGAUAACCUACCUAUAAGACUGGGAUAACUUCGGGAAACCGGAGCUAAUACCGGAUAAUAUUUUGAACCGCAUGGUUCAACAGUGAAAGACGGUCUUGCUGUCACUUAUCGAUGGAUCCGCGCUGCAUUAGCUAGUUGGUAAGGUAACGGCUUACCAAGGCAACGAUGCAUAGCCGACCUGAGAGGGUGAUCGGCCACACUGGAACUGAGACACGGUCCAGACUCCUACGGGAGGCAGCAGUAGGGAAUCUUCCGCAAUGGGCGAAAGCCUGACGGAGCAACGCCGCGUGAGUGAUGAAGGUCUUCGGAUCGUAAAACUCUGUUAUUAGGGAAGAACAAAUGUGUAAGUAACUGUGCACAUCUUGACGGUACCUAAUCAGAAAGCCACGGCUAACUACGUG
rnacentral:rRNA from 1 species